GCAACCUCCCCAUGCAACGUUGACUUGGUAAGUAGAACCUCCCCUCUUUCAUUUUUGACAAUAACACCUGAACUUGAUCUAAACUCCUUUUGGUCAAAAGUAGUGUCGAAGUUUAUCCUAAUAAAAGGAUCUGCUGGAGGAACCCGUUCUAAACUGACACAGUUUUUGAUUACCCACAACGCACAACUAGCCAACGUGCAAUCGUCAUAAUUACCAAACUAGAAAACCCAGGACAUUUCUGGAAAGCAUGAUCAAUUGAUUCUGGGCCAACUCCAUACCUAAGACAGACUAAAAGAACACCCAAACGUCUGCUAUAGAGAUUAGCUAAAAUAGGUAAAUAGUUCCAUAAGAUUUUCCAAACUUGACUUUCUGUUUUGUAGUUAAAUUUAGAUUCCAUAAUUUCUUGUAUAAGCCUUUUGUGGCAUUUAAGAGCACUGUAGAUUCAGAAUCUCUA